rnacentral:rRNA from 1 species
CCUACGAGGCUGCAGUGGGGACUAUUGCACAAUGGGCGCAAGCCUGAUGCAGCCAUGCCGCGUGUGUGAAGAAGGCCUUCGGGUUGUAAAGCACUUUCAGCGGGGUGGAAGGCGUUAAGGUUAAUAACCUUGGCGAUUGACGUUACCCGCAGAAGAAGCACCGGCUAACUCCGUGCCAGCAGCCGCGGUAAUACGGAGGGUGCAAGCGUUAAUCGGAAUUACUGGGCGUAAAGCGCACGCAGGCGGUCUGUCAAGUCGGAUGUGAAAUCCCCGGGCUCAACCUGGGAACUGCAUUCGAAACUGGCAGGCUAGAGUCGUGUAGAGGGGGGUAGAAUUCCAGGUGUAGCGGGGAAAUGCGUAGAGAUCUGGAGGAAUACCGGUGGCGAAGGCGGCCCCCUGGACAAAGACUGACGCUCAGGUGCGAAAGCGUGGGGAGCAAACAGGAUUAGAUACCCCUGUAGUC